UAGCAUAUCAAUAAGCGGAGGAAAAGAAACCAACAGGGAUUGCCUCAGUAACGGCGAGUGAAGCGGCAACAGCUCAAAUUUGAAAUCUGGCCGCAAGGUCCGAGUUGUAAUUUGUAGAGGAUGCUUUUGGCGAGGUGCCUUCCGAGUUUCCCUGGAACGGGACGCCAUAGAGGGUGAGAGCCCCGUACGGUAGGACCACCAAGCCUCUGUAAAGCUCCUUCGACGAGUCGAGUAGUUUGGGAAUGCUGCUCUAAAUGGGAGGUGUACGUCUUCUAAAGCUAAAUACCGGCCAGAGACCGAUAGCGCACAAGUAGAGUGAUCGAAAGAUGAAAAGCACUUUGAAAAGAGGGUUAAAAAGUACGUGAAAUUGUUGAAAGGGAAGCAUUCAUGACCAGACUUGGGCUUGGUUGAACAUCCGGCGUUCUCGCCGGUGCACUCUGCCAGUCCAGGCCAGCAUCAGUUUGCCCCGGGGGAUAAAGGCGGCGGGAAUGUGGCUCCCUUCGGGGAGUGUUAUAGCCCGUCGUGUAAUGCCCUGGGGCGGACUGAGGAACGCGCUUCGGCACGGAUGCUGGCGUAAUGGUCAUCAAUGACCCGUCUUGAAACACGGACCAAGGAGUCGUCUUCGUAUGCGAGUGUUCGGGUGUCAAACCCCUACGCGUAAUGAAAGUGAACGUAGGUGAGAGCUUCGGCGCAUCACCGACCGAUCCUGAUGUUCUCGGAUGGAUUUGAGUAAGAGCAUACGGGGCCGGACCCGAAAGAAGGUGAACUAUGCCUGUAUAGGGUGAAGCCAGAGGAAACUCUGGUGGAGGCUCGCAGCGGUUUCUGACGUGCAAAUCGAUCGUCAAAUAUGGGCAU
rnacentral:rRNA from 1 species